rnacentral:rRNA from 1 species
AGUGAACGCUGGCGGUAGGCCUAACACAUGCAAGUCGAACGGCAGCACAGUAAGAGCUUGCUCUUACGGGUGGCGAGUGGCGGACGGGGAGGAAUACAUCGGAAUCUACUUUUUCGUGGGGGAUAACGUAGGGAAACUUACGCUAAUACCGCAUACGACCUACGGGUGAAAGCAGGGGAUCUUCGGACCUUGCGCGAUUGAAUGAGCCGAUGUCGGAUUAGCUAGUUGGCGGGGUAAAGGCCCACCAAGGCGACGAUCCGUAGCUGGUCUGAGAGGAUGAUCAGCCACACUGGAACUGAGACACGGUCCAGACUCCUACGGGAGGCAGCAGUGGGGAAUAUUGGACAAUGGGCGCAAGCCUGAUCCGGCCAUACCGCGUGGGUGAAGAAGGCCUUCGGGUUGUAAAGCCCUUUUGUUGGGAAAGAAGAGCAGCAGGUUAAUACCCCGCUGUUCUGACGGUACCCAAAGAAUAAGCACCGGCUAACUUCGUG